rnacentral:rRNA from 1 species
UUUCGGCUGUCACUUACAGAUGGACCCGCGGCGCAUUAGCUAGUUGGUGAGGUAACGGCUCACCAAGGCGACGAUGCGUAGCCGACCUGAGAGGGUGAUCGGCCACACUGGGACUGAGACACGGCCCAGACUCCUACGGGAGGCAGCAGUAGGGAAUCUUCCGCAAUGGACGAAAGUCUGACGGAGCAACGCCGCGUGAGUGAUGAAGGUUUUCGGAUCGUAAAGCUCUGUUGUUAGGGAAGAACAAGUGCAAGAGUAACUGCUUGCACCUUGACGGUACCUAACCAGAAAGCCACGGCUAACUACGUGCCAGCAGCCGCGGUAAUACGUAGGUGGCAAGCGUUGUCCGGAAUUAUUGGGCGUAAAGGGCUCGCAGGCGGUUUCUUAAGUCUGAUGUGAAAGCCCCCGGCUCAACCGGGGAGGGUCAUUGGAAACUGGGAAACUUGAGUGCAGAAGAGGAGAGUGGAAUUCCACGUGUAGCGGUGAAAUGCGUAGAGAUGUGGAGGAACACCAGUGGCGAAGGCGACUCUCUGGUCUGUAACUGACG